rnacentral:tRNA from 1 species
UAUUUAGUAGUGUAUUUAUCACAAGAAUUUUUCAAAUUCUAAAAUCGGCCUCCGACUAAAAUU